UUCGUGUUAAGUUUUAGUUACUGAUCGUAUAUUAGUGUGUUCUCGCAAACGUAGUCGAAGCAACAUAUCGUUACAAUAUCAAGGCGAUCUAAGUUCGAUUGCUUGAUGUUCUUUGCUAUUUUGCAUCUGAUUUCUACCAUUAUCAGGUCUGGUGUCUCGUCCACGCUGAUAGAUUUAACGGAGAUGGAGUCCUCGGACGUGAGAUUGGUCGUAGACACCGCUUGUGAACCGUAGCCGCUGCUGCUCAUGCUUGGCGUGUUGAUCUUCGUCGAUUGAAGUUCGACAAGAGAAUCCAGUGCUUGUCACGCGUGAUCGAUCAUGCCUGUAGGCUAGAAGACACUUGAUACAAUCAGGCAAACCAGAUCAGCGUACGAUGUACACCUUUUGCGUCUCAUAUCGAAGAUAUUCGUGUCGACAGCAGUUAUUACAGCCGCGUACAAAUAUUUGUAAAAUUUAGUAGAAAAUAUUGCAGAGGUACAAUUUCAAAUCGUUUCUUCGUUGCUUUCUCAUUUUGAGAUUCUUUGUACACGUGAAACGAUUUAACUCGCCAUUCUUUAACCAAUCCAAAAUGCACCGAUACGUCGAUUAAAACUCGAAAUAUAUUUUUCCUGAUCUUAUUCGAGAAAAUAUUUGUUAGGAAUCUUCUAAAAUUCAAAGUUAUUUCGUACGAUUAGAAAUCUCAAUUUAUCCAGAGGAAACUGACGUAGAAAUAUCAUUAACGAAGAGAUCUGAUCGUAAUUUAUGAUCUCAUAUGCAUCGUGGAUUUGUCAUAAAGUAUGCUAACGAUAGCAUUUUAUUAGUUUAAAGUCAAAAGUGGUAUUGAUCUCGAGCUCUUCUCAAUGCGGUAUCUUCCUUGGAUUUUUACUGUACAGUCGAUAGCAUUAAAUAUGUAGACUCUAUCCUCCCGCAAAGCAUGCUUCACUAUGGCCGAAACAAUAAUCUCAUGCAGUACUAAAUUACUCUUAAUUUUGCCCCCUACACCAUUCUCAACUUGUCUGCUUGUAUUUCUUCGCUUCGUUCGACUUUAAACUAAUUCUUCCUGCGGAUAAAGAAAAUGGGUCUUUCGUCAUAAAGAAUAGUUGGCUAAAUUCUUCUUCCGAAUACGAAUAAAUAUUUAUUCCCUUCUUUGAGAUAUAUCUUCCCAUUUUCUUAGUUACUUGUAAGUUUCUUCCUUCUUCUUCGCUUCAAUGAAAAACAAUUUAGUUGCUUUAAUUAAUUAAGACCAACAAUAUCGUUUAAUUAAGGAAAUAUUCAUAAUACAAAAAAAAAGAAAGAUCCUGAAUUGUUUUUCAGAAGCACGUCCACCUAAAUCAUUAAUCAAUAAAUAUUUAUAUAUAUAUAUAUAUAUGUACACAUAUAUGAUACAGUUACCCUACGUCUGUUUCUAAAAUAUCGCUUAAUAGCACAUUCACAGGUAGAGACAGUAAAAGUAGAACAACUUUACAAGCCAUCUUAUUCGUCUUUCUUAAUUUGUUCUUUUUUUACUCUUCGACUAUAAUUCGAUCAUGAUAGAAAAAAGAAAAACAUCUUAUGCACGCUGGUUCACUCUUAAAUUCAGUCUUAAAACAUAGAUACCAAUAUCGAUAACUCGUCGAACGUUACGAAUUUUGUUUCUUAUCUCAAACUUCGACGAGUCGUCGAUAAAAAGAAGAAAAAGAUUUCAAAAAAAAAAAAAAAAAGUAAGAAAAAAGAAAAAGAUAAGAAAAACAGAACUAUAGAAAUCGUUUCUAUUCUAGUAAAAAACUUUUGCGAAAGAAUUGUUCAAAUACCCAUGCUUUUCGACUGCGAUUCGUGAUAUAGUAUAGUAUAGAUUAUAGAUAAUCAUAGUCGUGAUAUACAGUGCUAGUGAACAUGAUUUCUACGCAUGGUGAUCUCUGAUAGAUACUGCGAUAGACACGAGAGAAGAUCGUUCUUUCAUCUUGCGUUUGCAAUGCGUUGACGUGACUUUCGUUAAGCGUCGAUCAUGAUCAGCAACGCAGACAAAUCAUCGUGUAAAAGAUGUGAGCCAAAGAGAAACAGUCCGCAUGAACAUAGACGAGCCGAUAUAUGCUUGCUUAGAGGCACACAAGGAAACGCAUUCGGCAUGCAACAGUAAAAUCGUGAAACUAAAACAGCAUUUGCUCUCGUUGCAAUGAAACAGCGUUCGACACAUAGACACAUAGACAGAGAAGGCAUCAGCAAUUUUCAGAACUAGAGUUUAGAUCAUUUGAAGCGAAAUAUUCGUAAUACGAUUUUUAUUGAAAAUCACAACGUGAGUUCACGCUCGCCAUCUAUAUGCAGAUGCGCUAGUUACAAUAAAUAGUAACUAGACCAUAGUUCUAGAUACAAUCGAUAGAUUUAAUCGAUAGGUUUAAGAUGUUCUUUUGUUUUUAUCCCUAGUCCAUGUAUAUUACAAUACACAUAAUUUGAUUUUGAUGCUAUGAUAAUAAGAGCUUGAAACAAAUAGAAAAUCAUGAAAAUCUUGUAUUUUCUUUGAUGAUAUGAAUCAUUUCUGGUUCUGAACAUUGCUAGGAUCACAAAAAAAAAAAAAAAAAAAAAAAUAGAAGUGCAGCACCAUCGACACACUAUAUACACAUAUAUAUAUAUUUAAGGCGCACUGGAAGAAC